rnacentral:rRNA from 1 species
AUUGAACGCUGGCGGCAGGCUUAACACAUGCAAGUCGAGCGGGGGAAGGUAGCUUGCUACCGGACCUAGCGGCGGACGGGUGAGUAAUGCUUAGGAAUCUGCCUAUUAGUGGGGGACAACAUCUCGAAAGGGAUGCUAAUACCGCAUACGUCCUACGGGAGAAAGCAGGGGAUCUUCGGACCUUGCGCCAAUAGAUGAGCCUAAGUCGGAUUAGGUAAUUGGUGGGGUAAAGGCCUACCAAGGCGACGAUCUGUAGCGGGUCUGAGAGGAUGGUCCGCCACACUGGGACUGGGACACGGCCCAGACUCCUACGGGAGGCAGCAGUGGGGAAUAUUGGACAAUGGGGGGAACCCUGAUCCAGCCAUGCCGCGUGUGUGAAGAAGGCCUUAUGGUUGUAAAGCACUUUAAGCGAGGAGGAGGCUACUUUAGUUAAUACCUAGAGAGAGUGGACGUUACUCGCAGAAUAAGCACCGGCUAACUCUGUGCCAGCCGCCGCGGUAA